AUCGGGAUGAAGAAGAAAAUCAGACGGAUUCCUAUUUAUUUUUUCCCGGAUGAUGUUCUAACCAGCUACUUCUGACCAAU